AUCACCAAGCAUACCAAGGACCGCUCCAAGCUGUGAGCACAACUCUGAUGUGUUUCCCUGCCUUUCUAGCUGUCCUCGAAUAUCAUCUGCGCACAUAGUAAGUCUUGAUUUUGCACUGUCGAUAUUAUUGGCACGAAAAGCCUGCAGGUUAAAAAGCCAACAGUUACCCGAAGUGGUGAAACAAUUCAUUAGCUAAACGUCAGAGCUUGCAGGAAAGAGAAACAACAGGAUAAUAUCAGCUUGGCAACUGGUGAAGAAAUGUCAAGCUAUUAUUUAACUCUAAAGAAUGACAAGAUAUUUAAAAGUUACCCGCAUGGCUUGUUGCACCAGGAAAGCUCCCCGUUCUAGUGAUACAUCCUCGUACAUAACAGUUUGUCUCUCUUCUGCUUCUUUUUCAUCACCAUUAACCUGAGACCUCUUAAUCCUCGCAUGCCCUUCAAUAAAGCGAUCAACAACAUUCUGAAGAUUCAUAUCAUUCUCUAUCUUUUCAAUAUCAGCACCACAUAAAGGACAGUCCAUAAAGCGUGAGAGACAUGCCCUGUUUUACCAAACAAUAACCAUCAGGCGGCAGUAUUGAAAAGUGACCAGAUAAAAAAAUUUCCCUUUCUUGAUUUUAAAGAGCGAAAUGACAUGCAUGCAUGGAAGUAGAAAGAUAGUAAGAGGUCUCAAUUUUCACUUACUUGCAGAAUACAUGAGAACAGGGCACACAUCUGCUGCAAUCAUAAAGAAGUGCCUGACAAAUCAUGCAGCUAAAAGGACCCAGCUUAAAUGCUUGAGAAUCAUAUCCAAAGGGGCAUUUAGGUGACACAGUUGCAGAUGCUCCAGACUCUUGUUUAGCCUUGUUAUCCUGGCCAUAUCCAAAGGGGCAUUGAGGUGACACAACUGCAGAUUCUCCAGACGCUUCUUUAGGCUUGCUCCCCUGGCCAUAUCCAAAGGGGCAUUUAGGUGACACAAUUGCAGAUUCACCAGACCCUUGCUUAGGCUUGCUCUCCUGACUAUCCGGCUGUUUAUUUUGGUUUUCACUAGGCUUCUUAAUAGAAGUGUCAUCAGGUCUGGAAGCUCUAACAAAAGGGCAAACAGGUUUCAUAUUGAUGG
rnacentral:lncRNA from 1 species